GUCUCGUCGCUUCAGAGUCAGUCAUACAAAUUCGAAGAAAUCAUCCAUGAUAUAUCACCAUGGUUCGUCGCCAAAAGGAGAAUAAUGGAUGCCAUGUUGAAAAGGACAAGACAGUCCCCGACGAAAAUUUUAAGUCGAAGAAGCACGAAGCGAGCAUGAUGACUGCAGUUCUAUCUCUUCUCGCUGUUACAUUAGCUGUAGUCUGUGCUGUCUUUCGAACCUCUCUUCUUCACCACGGCCAAUCAUUCUGGAUUUCAUCAGGGAACUUCAUAGCCAGACAAUGGGGAAACUUCUAUGACUAUUUCGAAGGAAAUCAGGUCAAAAUGGGUUUAGGUAUGUCGUAUAUGUAAAUUCUAAUUUUUAAGUACAAAGCACUUGUGUC